GUGGGGAAUAUUGCGCAAUGGGCGAAAGCCUGACGCAGCCACGCCGCGUGAGCGAUGAAGGCCUUCGGGUCGUAAAGCUCUGUGGGGAGAGAAGAAUAAAGCCUGUGAAGAGCAGGCCUUGACGGUAUCUCCUUAGCAAGCACCGGCUAACUCCGUGCCAGCAGCCGCGGUAAUACGGAGGGUGCAAACGUUGCUCGGAAUCAUUGGGCGUAAAGCGCACGUAGGCUGCCCGACAAGUUGGGUGUGAAAACCCUGGGCUCAACCCAGGAAGUGCAUCCAAAACUGGCGGGCUUGAAUCUCGGAGGGGGUCGGAGAAUUCCCGGUGUAGAGGUGAAAUUCGUAGAUAUCGGGAGGAAUACCAGUGGCGAAGGCGCCGACCUGGACGAAGAUUGACGCUGAGGUGCGAAAGCGUGGGGAGCAAACAGGAUUAGAAACCCUAGUAGUCC
rnacentral:rRNA from 1 species